rnacentral:rRNA from 1 species
GAUGAACGCUGGCGGCGUGCCUAAUACAUGCAAGUCGAGCGAACAGAUAAGGAGCUUGCUCCUUUGACGUUAGCGGCGGACGGGUGAGUAACACGUGGGUAACCUACCUAUAAGACUGGAAUAACUCCGGGAAACCGGGGCUAAUGCCGGAUAACAUUUAGAACCGCAUGGUUCUAAAGUGAAAGAUGGUCUUGCUAUCACUUAUAGAUGGACCCGCGCCGUAUUAGCUAGUUGGUAAGGUAACGGCUUACCAAGGCAACGAUACGUAGCCGACCUGAGAGGGUGAUCGGCCACACUGGAACUGAGACACGCUCCAGACUCCUACGGGAGGCAGCAGUAGGGAAUCUUCCGCAAUGGGCGAAAGCCUGACGGAGCAACGCCGCGUGAGUGAUGAAGGUCUUCGGAUCGUAAAACUCUGUUAUUAGGGAAGAACAAAUGUGUAAGUAACUGGUCACGUCUUGACGGUACCUAAUCAGAAAGCCACGGCUAACUACGUG